UCAACUGAUGGUCUUUGGCUUGGACUUCCCAUCCGGUGUGCACAGCAGCUCAACUGGCGGACGUCUGUCGUGCUGCACAGUCACAACACGAUUUAAAAGAGAGGCUGUUGGCUGGUGGCACUGGCUGGCCCUGGCUGCUGCUGUUGAACCGCCACUAUACCCGCCAUCCGGUCGUUUGUCACGCGAAAGGCUCCUCCUCCUUAACUCCUGCCUUCCGGAAUUGGACUCGACUGUUUCCUGUUUUUCUUCUUUUUCUUGUUCUUUUAGUGGUUGCUCACCUUCUUCCACUCGACUGCGCUGCCCGGGAAUAAAUCGACGGCCGUCGUUUUUCCCGCUGUCGUGCAGCACAGCACUUGUCUUCUGGCGCAGUCGCCCUGCACAGCACAAAAAGUGGAGAGAGAGAGACAAAAUCAUCAAACAUAUUUUCCCAGGCUAAUAUGCGAUUGUGUUUGUGUGUCGGAGACGGAAAGGGAAUGCCAUUUGGCUUCCGUGCACACUGCAAACAUUAAAUAAUAAAAAUAUUCGAUUGUCUCCUCUCCUUCAGACUUGGGGAAGUGUCUGACAUUUUUCGAGACGUCCCAGCAUUUAUUUAUUUGGGUUCCAUCCACGCCGAGUCUGAAGUGGGUGGGCGUGUUUCGUUUAUUUGCACAACGGGAGGAAAGGAGAGAUAUAAUUCUCUAGGGGGUUGGAGAGGACGGGAGAGAAACCGUGAACGACUAUACAUUCAGAUUCAGUCAAAAAGGAAAAAAACAAACAAACAAAAUCGAUUGAAAAGUGGCAAAACAAAUCAAACAUAUUUAUCCCUUUUUUUCUUUUCUUUCUUUCAACAAAACACAUAAAAUACAUAAAAGAAAAGAAAAUUUGCAUAGAUCACGCAAUUCUUCCGAUCCAUUUUGGAAAAUAUUUCAAAUCGCCCCCGGUAUGUAUUUAUACAUCAAAUAGCUUAACUCAAAACCGAUUACGUUUCGAAUUGAAUUUCGGUCGAGAGUGACGAACGCAAAAGCUCUAUAAGUUUUUACCGGGGUAAAAGUGCUUGCUGGCCUUUAUUUAUUUA